GUUCGAUUAAACGUUUGCUAUAUUACGGAUCGCACUGAACAAGUUUCCACAAACCGUUCAACAUUCUUUUAGGACCCGGGAAGAGUUGCAGGGGAAAGAAGAGAAGAAUGUGCCUAUUUGAAAGCUAGAAAAAAGUAAAUUCCUGUCAAUAAACUGUUGGGCCCCAAGUAUGAUGCCAAUGUGCCAGAAGAUAACAGGUUUCAUCCAAGCAUGCUCUCCCAAUAUUUAAAGCGUCUCAAGGUUAAAAUGGGUUUGCUUGUUGAUCUAACAAACACUACCGACUUCUACAGUAUGACCCCAACGAGAUCGAGAACGAGGGUGUUAAAUGUGUGAAGCUUCAGUGCAAAGGGUACGUAUGAGUGACCUGUUUAAAACUCAAGAUUAAUUCUCCAUGUUUACAAAUGCCACUAGUUGAUUGAUCUGAUGUGAUGUGUUCGUUCCUUGUUUAACUAUGGAGAGUGUCCUUCAAGAGACUACUGAGAUGUUCAUCAGACUGGGCACUUCAUGGAGAAGACUACCACUGAUAGGUGUCCACUGCAUGUACGGCUUCAAUCGGACAGGCUUUCUGAUCUGUGCAUACCUGGUGUAGAAGAUGGAUUGGAGGUCAGUAUUGAGGCGGCGGUGGCUGCGUUCGCCCAGGCCCGCGCACCUGGGAUCUGCAAAUGCGACACCUCAAAGAGCUCUUCCGUCAUUGUGGACAUGCCUGGCCGCCCUCCCCCCAACCUGAUUGGUCAGUAGUCGUCUCAGUUGGGGACCCCCCUCUGGGUCGGUCCCGGGAAAACGGAGGAAGGAGAGAAAGUGGCCUUCAAGAGGUGCCCAAUCUGCCAGGGCACCAAGGCUAUAAACCAAAAUGUGGUUCUAACAUCUUCAAUAUGCACCUCAGAUUUUGAUAAGAACACGCGCCGUUGCAUCCCCGACAUGUCUGUCUUUUCUUGUAGCCUUCUUCGGGAGCUGCGAUUCUUGUGAGAAAAACCCGGUCACAUGACAGGCAUUGGCUAAUAAGAAUUGAUAUAUCUGAGAGAGCCAUGUGAGUAAAAGGUGCUUCGAGGAGGUGCGAUUGGCAGCUGGGAGAAGGGAAUUAUAAUUAUUAUGUUCAGCCCAAGGGCACAAAGGAUAUUUUUUUAGGGGCAUUCUGGCCACACAAGGGAGCAUCAAUGUGCAUGGCUGCCAAGGCCGCAAAGAAAUUCGAGGCAUGCCACCCUGUCUUUAUACUUUCCUGGGAUUUCUGUCCCAUCUCUCUCUUGUGCUGGGACCUGGGUGAGGAGACCUAGGCGGCAUCUGAAAUGGCACCCUGUUCCAUAUAUAGUGCUCUUUACUAGGUCCCAGCGCUCCCCAAACAGCAGGUGCACAAGACACCAGUCACUUAUCACCGUCCCUAAUGGGAACCGAGGAGAGAAGAAGCUAGUUGUCUUUAUGCUUCGUGCCUGUGUACACAGCCCUGCAUUCUGUACAGCAGCCCAGUUAUGUGGGAGGGUAUACAUUAGGAGGCUUUGGAAGCAGCGGACACUGCAGAUGUGACAGUCCAGGCCUGGGUAAACUACGGCCCAAGGAGAUGAUUAUCGACAAGGUGAACGGCCAGUCCGUCCCGCACUACCUGAUCUAUGACAUCAUUAAACUCAACGGUAGGCCAGUGUGAUUUCAAUGUUCGGCUAUUGUGAAAAGAGAAAGAGAUCAUCUCCCCUAGGGUGGAGAAGAUGAAGACGGGACAGAUCGACAAGACCAAGGAGCCCUUCAGUGUCAGGAACAAGCCAUUCUUCGGCAUCCACGCAGCACGAAAGAUGGCGUAUGGAUGGGUAGAAUGUCAUUCUCCAUGAAUACAAUUGCAACACAACAGAAAAAAAUAAGACUGUCCCCUAAUCUGAUGGAGCCAGUGCAGUGCUCGGGGAGCGUCCGUUGGAGCUGCCUUCAAAAGCUUCAGAGGAGAUUGAGUCUUUUUUCAGAGAGUAGGGUGGCACUAUCCUGUGGGUAUUCUAUGCGGUACCCAAGGCUUGGUCACGGGGCCAUGGUUGGCGGAGCGGUCUGUUUCCAUACCUAAAGCUACUGAUUAGUGCUCGGUGAUGAUAUCUCCUAGACACACCCAUUGCUCAUGUGUGAGGAAAAACAACAGCUGUGGUUGUGAAAUUAAUUAAGAGCCUUUUGUUAAUUAUACAUUAUUUAUUGAAUGUGUUAAAUGUCAAUAUCCUCAAACACUCCCACUUCUCAGUUCAGACAAUGGCUGCCUCCUGAUAUGCUGUUGUCUCUGAGAGAAGACCGGGAGGGGUGGGGCAGCUGGCUGCUAGGAGGAGGGAUGUGGUCUUUUGUGCGUUCCGUUGGGUUAAGAACUGCAAUGCUGCUGGGUUUUUUCACACUCAACAGUUUCACGUGUGUAUCAAGAAAGGUCCACUACCCAAAGGACAUCCAGCCAACUUGACACAACUGUGGGAUGCAUUGAAGUUGACAUGGGCCAGCAUCCAUGUGGAACACAUUCAACACCUUGUAGAGUCCAUGCCCCAACGAAUUGAGGCUGUUCUGAAGGUAAAAGGGGGAUGCAACUCAAUAUUAGAACACUAUGUGAGCAAAAUGUUCAGAACAUCAAAUUAAAUUUUGAUUGUGUCACUGAUCUACACAAAAUACCCCAUAAGGUCAAAGUGGAAUUUGUUUUUUAGAAAUAUAAAAAUAAUUUCAAUAAGUAUUCAGCCUAUUUGUUAUGACUUGCUUAACAAACAUGACAUCUAUAGUGUGAAGUGUCUUGGACACACCCACAAUGUACCUGAGCAAAGAGGAUUUUGCUUGGGAAGUUGCUUGGACUAACUGUGUGCAAAAAUGGUGUUUAACAUUUUUGAAUGACUACCCCAUCUCUGUACCCCACACAUACAAAGGUCCCUCAGUUGAGCAGUGAAUUUCAAGCACAGACUCAAGAGCAAAGACUAGGGAGGUUUUCCA